AGUUUGAUCAUGGCUCAGGAUGAACGCUAGCGACAGGCUUAACACAUGCAAGUCGAGGGGUAGAAGGCUUCGGGCCUUUGAGACCGGCGCACGGGUGCGAAACGCGUAUACAAUCUACCUAUUACAGGGGGAUAGCCCAGAGAAAUUUGGAUUAAUACCCCAUAGUAUUAUAGAGUGGCAUCAUUUUAUAAUUAAAGUUGAGGCGGUAAUAGAUGAGUAUGCGUCCUAUUAGCUAGUUGGUGAGGUAACGGCUCACCAAGGCUACGAUAGGUAGGGGUCCUGAGAGGGAGAUCCCCCACACUGGUACUGAGACACGGACCAGACUCCUACGGGAGGCAGCAGUGAGGAAUAUUGGUCAAUGGACGCAAGUCUGAACCAGCCAUGUCGCGUGCAGGAAGACGGCCUUAUGGGUUGUAAACUGCUUUCUAUAGGGACGAAACCCCCUUUCGUGAGAGGGGCUGACGGUACUAUAGGAAUAAACACCGGCUAACUCCGUG
rnacentral:rRNA from 1 species